rnacentral:rRNA from 1 species
AUUGAACGCUGGCGGCAGGCCUAACACAUGCAAGUCGAGCGGUUGAGGUAGCUUGCUACCGAUGCAGCGGCGGACGGGUGCGUAAUACAUGGGAACCUGCCUGGUAGUGGGGGACAACGUUUCGAAAGGAACGCUAAUACCGCCUACGCCCUACGGGGGAAAGGGGGGGAUCUGCGGACCUCUCGCUAUCAGAUGAGCCCAUGUCGGAUUAGCUUGUUGGUGGGGUAAAGGCUCACCAAGGCGACGAUCCGUAACUGGUCUGAGAGGACGAUCAGUCACACUGGAACUGAGACACGGUGCAGAGUCGUAGGGGAGGCAGCAGUGGGGAAUAUUGCACACUGGGCGCAAGCCUGAUCCAGCCAUGCCGCGUGUGUGAAGAAGGCCUUAGGGGUGUAAAGCACUUUCAGUGGGGAGAAAGGUCAUUCACCUAAUACGUGAGUGAAUUGAUGUUACCCACAGAAGAAGCACCGGCUAACUCCGUGCCAGCCGCCGCGGUAA